rnacentral:rRNA from 1 species
AUAAUAGGUCUAUUUUGGAAUUGUAGGGGGGUAGGAAAAAAAGGGAUGAAAACCUGCCUAUCCCAUAUAAUUAGUGACCAUUCCCUUGACUUUCUCUGUUUGCAAGAAACUUUAAAAAAGAAUUUUCUGGAUAGUUACUUUAGGAAGCUUGACCCACAUAAUUUGUUCGAGUGGGAAAGGAUCCCCUCAAUUGGUAAAGCCGGGGGCAUUUUAUGUGGGGUUAGAAAGGAGAACUUUGAUGUAGUUACUUGGAGGAAAGGCAGAUUCAUUCUUCAGGUAUCUCUCUAUGAUAUCAAAAUGAAGAAAAUUUGGACACUCUGUACUGUUUAUGGAGCGGCCCAUGAGUGUGAUAAAAGUGAAUUCCUUAGUGAAUUGGCUGAUUUUUGCUGCCAUAUUCAAACACCAUUAUUGAUCGGAGGUGAUUUCAAUAUACUCAGACAUAGUGGGGAGAAAAAUAAGAGAUGGCGCCGCUCAGCACACUCUGACCUGUUUAAUUCGAUCAUUAAUACUAUGUGUUUGAAUGAGAUUCAUAUGAGUGGGGGGCUUAUACUUGGUCUAAUAACCAAGCUCAUCCUACUUUGGAGAAAUUGGACCGGGUGCUUAUGA